CAGGUUUACCUGUGUGACUGCGUACCUUUUGUAUAAUGGGUCAGCGACUUAUAUUCUGUAGCAAGGUUAACCGCAUAGGGGAGCCGGAGGGAAACCGAGUCUUAAUUGGGCGUUAAGUUGCAGGGUAUAGACCCGAAACCCGGUGAUCUAGCCAUGGGCAGGUUGAAGGUUGGGUAACACUAACUGGAGGACCGAACCGACUAAUGUUGAAAAAUUAGCGGAUGACCUGUGGCUGGGGGUGAAAGGCCAAUCAAACCGGGAGAUAGCUGGUUCUCCCCGAAAGCUAUUUAGGUAGCGCCUCGUGAAUUCAUCUCCGGGGGUAGAGCACUGUUUCGGCUAGGGGGCCAUCCCGGCUUACCAACCCGAUGCAAACUGCGAAUACCGGAGAAUGUUAUCACGGGAGACACACGGCGGGUGCUAACGUCCGUCGUGAAGAGGGAAACAACCCAGACCGCCAGCUAAGGUCCCAAAGUCAUGGUUAAGUGGGAAACGAUGUGGGAAGGCCCAGACAGCCAGGAUGUUGGCUUAGAAGCAGCCAUCAUUUAAAGAAAGCGUAAUAGCUCACUGGUCGAGUCGGCCUGCGCGGAAGAUGUAACGGGGCUAAACCAUGCACCGAAGCUGCGGCAGCGACACUGUGUGUUGUUGGGUAGGGGAGCGUUCUGUAAGCCUG
rnacentral:rRNA from 1 species